GCAACCAUAGUGCAGUGGUUAACAUACCUGCCUUCCAAGCAGGUGGCCCGGGUUCGAAUCCCGGUGGUUGCA
rfam:Spizellomyces punctatus DAOM BR117 chromosome Tnknown supercont1.11, whole genome shotgun sequence.